rnacentral:rRNA from 1 species
GUCCCUACGGGGGGCAGCAGUGGGGGAUAUUGCACAAUGGGGGAAACCCUGAUGCAGCGACGCCGCGUGGGUGAAGAAGCGCCUCGGCGCGUAAAGCCCUGUCAGCAGGGAAGAAAAUGACGGUACCUGCAAAGGAAGCACCGGCUAACUCCGUGCCAGCAGCCGCGGUAAUACGGAGGGUGCGAGCGUUAAUCGGAAUUACUGGGCGUAAAGCGCUCGUAGGCGGUAUGUCAAGUCAAGGGUGAAAUCCCCGCGCUCAACGUGGGAACUGCCUUUGAAACUGGCAAACUGGAGUGUGUGAGAGG